UAUAUAUAGCGCCUGGACACUUAUUUUAAGUGUUGACGAGGUUCAAGGUUAUCGAAAGAUUCGGCGGAUGCCUUGAUGGCUUUAACUUAUGGUCAUAAGUAUUAAUGAAAGAGCAGUAGUAAUGCUGUAACAAAGAUUAAUACAUAU
rnacentral:ncRNA from 1 species